GAUUCCAACGAGGAGAGAAACAACUCCCCAGUUCCCCCUCAACUUUCCAGUUUUCUCGUUCCUCUUGUUUCUUCCGUAACAGGAAAAAAAAAGUAAAUCAAUACUUUGAAAGUCUCUCAGGGAAAUCGCAAUCCUGCAUGUAAGCUGGGGUAGAUCCGAAAAAGGAAUUGGGAAUUUCUGAACAAUUAGGUGGUGUAUGUACUGAUUUUUAUUGGUGGACUUAGAUGGAGACUGCUGAAGACCUUGAAAGAAAGAAGAAGUCGAAAGAAGAUGAGAUCGGACGUCAGACAAAUCUAAUAUAUACUUUUGGGGGAAAAGGAAUAAUUGUUGCAGGAACGUUGAUUGGUGGUUCUUCUCUAGCUACUAAUAGUUCUGUUCAAGUUUCCUGAGUGGGUGAUACAUAUCAAAGUUUUCUAAGAGUUGCAAAGUGUUUGCGGUAGACUUAUUGGGAUCUGGCUGGAGGGAUAAAGCGCAUAUCAAGUAUGAUGUCGUGGUAUGAGAAAGGAUUGAGUGGACUUCUACACUAUGCCGGUAUCCAUUGUAAGCUUAACAGGGGCGUCCUCCCACAGACUCAUCCAUAGGCUUAUGAUCCUGCUAUACAUAUCCUAAGGUUUCACUGAAAGAUGUAGAAUGAAGGUUGAUGUGGAAGAUCCUUGUUGAUCGACUUUGGAUGUAAAGGAAUGUUAGAUCGCCCAUCUGCAUUUUACUUCUUCUUUUUAAUGUUCUCCCAAAUAUUCUGUCGGAAAUUCAUCAUUUUAAUUCUAUUUUUUGUUCACAUUUUCUUUUACCCUUUGUUAGUGUAGUCGCUUAAAUGUAAUAAAUUAUGACAUUGUAAUAUUUGAUUAAAUUAAUGAAUGAAUGAUGUUGGAAAGUA